UACGUAGGGGGCAAGCGUUGUCCGGAAUCAUUGAGCGUAAAGAGCGUGUAGGCGGCCUGACAGGUCUGCUGUGAAAACUCGAGGCUCAACCUCGAGAUGUCGGCGGAAACCGUCUGGCUAGAGUCCGGAAGAGGAGAGUGGAAUUCCUGGUGUAGCGGUGAAAUGCGCAGAUAUCAGGAAGAACACCUAUGGCGAAGGCAGCUCUCUGGGACGGUACUGACGCUGAGACGCGAAAGCGUGGGGAGCGAACAGG
rnacentral:rRNA from 1 species